rnacentral:sRNA from 1 species
AUCAUAGUUGAUAGUUCUCUUUUUGUAUAUGGCUAGCAAUGCGGAAUCGACUCUCUACAUUAGAUUCAAUGAAGGCUUGGAAUGUGAACUUGAAUCGAACAUGUGUGUUAUGUAACACUCUUAUCGAGACACGAGAGCACUUGUUUUUCAGCUGUAAGUACUCGUCGGCAGUCUGGUCCUCCCUAGCGAAACCACUACUCUAGUGACGAUUCUCUACAAUAUGGCAAGCUCUAGUCAUUAUUAUUACUUCUGAUCACUGUAACAGAAUCCAUAUAUUCUUCCUCUAAUACAGUUUUCAAAUAAUGGUUCAUUCGAUUUGGCGAGAACGCAAUAAAAAAAACACACAAUAAAACUCUGAUUCUUAUCACACAUCUUCCUAAGUGAAUAGAU